rnacentral:lncRNA from 1 species
GUAGUGACAUACAGUUCACUAGAUUGACUCAUGAAUUUCUCCAAGAUGCGCUUCAGUUCGCAUUCAUGAGGAGGUAUACACAAAAGAAUUCUUGUUCAUUCUCACAAUGUGUUUUCAAAUGAAAACCAUUAGCAUGAAUGUCUUUAAAGCUCAACAUGGUUCCUUAGAAUGUUGUGGAUAGUUCCACUAUCUGCGAAGCACUCAAUGUCUCUAUGAGACAUAACUACAAGGAGUAGAUAGGCGAGUAAAUAGUUCUACUUGAACCAUUUAGAAGGAUUGAAAGAAGCUACGAAAAGCUGCAAUCCCGAGAGUGCAUAAAAAUUUCCGCGCGGAAUGACCUUUGCGCACUAAAACAGCCAUAACUUCUUCGUUAAAAUAGAUAUGGACGAACCGUAAAAAUUUCUGAAAACUAGACUCAUAGAGCUUUCCAAUGAUAUAAAGCUCACUGUCUGGUUCGUCCGGAGCUGUUCACAAAGCUCAAACGAAGUUGACUGUCCAAAAGGGACAGAUUGCUGUUUUUCGCAGAUUUGGCAUGUGCGAAGCUGUGAAGCUUGCAGGUGGCGUGUAGGCUUUUGCCUUAGCCAAAAGUGACGUGUGUAUGAUCAAAACCAAGUCCUUUCGAUCUUUCUAAGGUCGUAAACUCCAUGACUAGUUAGCAAAAGCUCCCUGACAUGAACAUAAACUAACUCAGAGGACCUAGAGGAUCCGAUUAUGAUGAUAAUUUUCCAGCUUUGAUAAGUCUUCAACGUCUUUUGCAAGACGGCAAUUGGUUUAAUAGCGUAGGGGGAUCCAAAAUCAAAAGCUUUCAAUAACUCCAAGUCAGUAUGACCAGGCAUGUCUGUGGAGGGUCGGUAGUGCGAGGCACACUUAAAACCACUAUCUCCUUAAUUUCGGACAAUUCUAAGACAUCACACUGAGCUUGGAUGAGCCUAGUUGAACAAUUGAUGAUGAAAAAUCCGCUAUAAGGUAGAAGACUUAACCGGAAACACGUGGGCGAUCCUCCUUGAGGAUGCAGUGCCAUGAGUCACCUUCAAAGGAAUGGACCAAAAUCGGCACAAUAUGCCAUGUUUCUAAGGACGAUGUAAGUGUACAUCUUGAUUGUAAAUCAAUAUGAACCAUAAGAGGAGAAUAGUUUCGCUUCGAAAAAUUCUCAAGGCAUUCAUUAUUGCUAAUGUGAGUACAUCGAGGUCUCAAAUAGACAAAGGACGUCGAUACAACGUCUUAGUACAUAUAACUUGGAAC